CCUACGGGAGGCAGCAGUGAGGAAUAUUGGUCAAUGGACGAGAGUCUGAACCAGCCAAGUCGCGUGAAGGAUGACUGCCCUAUGGGUUGUAAACUUCUUUUAUAUGGGAAUAAAAUGUUCCACGUGUGGCUUUUUGUAUGUACCAUAUGAAUAAGGAUCGGCUAACUCCGUGCCAGCAGCCGCGGUAAUACGGAGGAUCCGAGCGUUAUCCGGAUUUAUUGGGUUUAAAGGGAGCGUAGGUGGAUUGUUAAGUCAGUUGUGAAAGUUUGCGGCUCAACCGUAAAAUUGCAGUUGAAACUGGCAGUCUUGAGUACAGUAGAGGUGGGCGGAAUGCGUGGUGUAGCGGUGAAAUGCUUAGAUAUCACGAAGAACUCCGAUUGCGAAGGCAGCUCACUGGACUGCAACUGACACUGAGGCUCGAAAGUGUGGGUAUCAAACAGGAUUAGAUACCCCUGUAGUC
rnacentral:rRNA from 1 species